rnacentral:rRNA from 1 species
UACGUAGGGUGCGAGCGUUAAUCGGAAUACUGGGCGUAAAGCGUGCGCAGGCGGCGCGUUAAGACAGGUGUGAAAGCCCCGAGCUUAACUUGGGAAUUGCGCUUGUGACUGGCGAGCUGGAGUGUGGCAGAGGGAGGUGGAAUUCCACGUGUAGCAGUGAAAUGCGUAGAGAUGUGGAGGAACACCGAUGGCGAAGGCAGCCUCCUGGGCCAGCACUGACGCUCAUGCACGAAAGCGUGGGGAGCAAACAGG